AGAUAAAAGAAUAAAAGCAGGCUGCGGGAGCCAGCCGUGGUAACCCACUGGGGUCCGCUUCCACACCGUGGAAGGCUUGUUCUUUCACUCUUUGCAAUAAAUCUUGCUACUGCUCACUCUUUGGGUCCACGCUGCCUUUAUGAGCUGUAACACUCACGGCGAAAGUCUGCAGCUUCACUCCUGAA
rnacentral:lncRNA from 1 species